AUUACUGCAGGAAAAGUUAAAAAAUAAUGUCUCUAUCCCUACCCAGAUUUAGCCGAACUGUGAGGUUGAGAGCACUGUCUGUCGGCUCAAGACGUUUAACCCCAACUUCAAGGAAUUAGGGUUUGCCUACAAAGUUAGAGGAAAGAGCCCAUACAAGACCACUCUCACUUCUGACACCAACUGCAGCUAGAUGUUGACAUCUUGGGCAACCUUGCAAGAUAGAUUUUGAAGAUGGUGAAAUUUCUAUCAGCCAGGGUUCCUGCAUGGUGGCAUGGAACAGAUCCCCACAACCCUAGCCAGCCACCUGUUGAACUUCACAUGAGUACACGUUUUUCAAUAUUGUAUAGUGAAGAUCGGUUAGUGUUCCAGUUUUAUUUGUUCUUUUGAAGCCAGAGAAAACAGUCCUACAAGUACGCCUAUAAGAACGAUCUGGAGAUUGGUUCAAGAUGGAGUAGAAGGACAUGCGCUGACUCCCUCUUGCAAGAACACUGGAAUCAGAACUAACUGCUGAACAAUCAUUGACAGGA